UGAGCAUGCAUAAAGAUGAGGAGCAAAAAUUUAUGGGGAGGUCCGAGGAUAUAGGAUGUCAGGUUGUUUUCAAAGAACUGAAAGUAUUCUACAAUAGUGCCAGCUGUAAUAUUCAGUAAUCUUUGUUUUCUAAACACAAGUUAUGACUUCUAGGUGAUUCUCAUCAUAUUACUCAACCAUAUAUUGAUGGGAGAGGUGCCAUUUUGGCCAUAGAAUGUGCCUUUAAACAAUCUGGUCUGCAACCUAACCAAGUGGACUAUGUGAAUGCUCAUGCUACGUCUACACCUUUGGGUGAUGCAAUUGAAGCAAAUGCAAUCAAUUCCAUAUUCACUGACCAUGCAACAUCUGGUACUUUGGCCUUCUCCUCAACAAAGGGUGCUAUCGGGCAUCUUCUUGGUGCAGCCGGAGCUGUUGAAGCAAUUUUUACCGUUUUAGCCAUACACCAUAUAAGUAUAUCAGUUUAGCUUCUCCUUGAUGAUUCAAUUGAAAGCACCUUUCAACUUAUUGGCGUGACGUAGCUUUUCAAAAAGCUUUUGAAAUGGUUAUAAUAGUAAUUCCCACUUGUAUGAACCAAUUUGUUAUCUCUGUCUAUGAGUAUAUCUGCCUGUAUUCAAUUAGUGGUUCAAAGUCGAUGAACUGUACGGAAGAUUCUGUUCGGUUCACUUAAGAAAGUUUGGAACUGUACUAAAUGAACAUUAUGGU